UACGUAGGGUGCAAGCGUUAAUCGGAAUUACUGGGCGUAAAGCGUGCGCAGGCGGCUGGUCAAGUCCGAUGUGAAAUCUCCCGGCUCAACUGGGAAACUGCAUCGGAAACUGAUCGGCUUGAAGAUGGGAGAGGGUAGUGGAAUUCCCGGUGUAGUGGUGAAAUGCGUAGAUAUCGGGAGGAACACCAGUGGCGAAGGCGGCGCCCUGGCUCGCAACUGACGCUC
rnacentral:rRNA from 1 species